GACGGAGGGGGCUAGCGUUGUUCGGAAUUACUGGGCGUAAAGCGCACGUAGGCGGCUUUGUAAGUCAGGGGUGAAAUCCCGGGGCUCAACCUCGGAACUGCCUUUGAUACUGCAAAUCUCGAGUCCGGAAGAGGUGAGUGGAAUUCCUAGUGUAGAGGUGAAAUUCGUAGAUAUUAGGAAGAACACCAGUGGCGAAGGCGGCUCACUGGUCCGGUACUGACGCUGAGGUGCGAAAGCGUGGGGAGCAAACAGG
rnacentral:rRNA from 1 species